UACGUAGGAUCCAAGCGUUGUCCGGAUUUACUGGGUGUAAAGGGUGCGCAGGCGGACUGGUGAGUCUGGGGUGAAAUCUCGCCGCUUAACGGCGAAACUGCCUUAGAUACUAUCAGUCUUGAAUCAGCGAGAGGUUCGUGGAAUUCCGAGUGUAGCAGUGAAAUGUGUAGAUAUUCGGAAGAACACCAGUGGCGAAGGCAGCGAACUGGCGCUCGAUUGACGCUCAGGCACGAAAGCAUGGGGAUCAAACAGG
rnacentral:rRNA from 1 species